rnacentral:lncRNA from 1 species
ACGAAAAUGUUUUAAGAGUGUAAUAAAAAAAUACAUUAAAAAGUUUACAUUUUCAACGAUACAAGAAGCGUUUACUAACCAUACUUAUACAGUUAUAUAAUGUAGUUUUAUCUUUAAAAGCCAAUGGUAUAAAAAACUAGUUAUCUUAUUCACAAAAAUAGACACAAACGUUCCGGAUAAGCCAAUUCUGAUGAACUUUAGUAGGUACAGUAGUUCUUUUUAACCAUCUUUAGUUUCAAAAUUGAAUCUCUAAUUCAACAUUCUUUUAAGCCAAAGACUUCCAAAUAGUUCAUGUUAAAACUGGUCGUAUUUCCAUAAAUAAAAUUAGUAAAUAACUGACCUUCUGGAAGAGAAAAAGGAACAUAGUUGUUGUUGAUAGCACAGGCGCAAGAGCCGUUACUACUCAUGAAAUAUAUACAGUAAGCAUUGGCGUUGCCAAAUCCAGGACCGCAGGAUGGGUUGCACCAAAUUCCACCACUGCCAUCAGUUUGAGGAAGUUUUGUUGGACGAGCUCCAGUUGGGUUAGCAAGGGUAAAAAAGAAGGCAUUUUCAUCUUUCACAAAAGACGAGCCUAAAUAAGUGAAAUAACUUCCUGUUUCUAAUUGUUAAUUUACAGAAGUUAUACUGGCG